CAGCAGCCACGGUAAUACGGAGGGGGCUAGCGUUGUUCGGAAUUACUGGGCGUAAAGCGCACGUAGGCGGCUUUGUAAGCCAGAGGUGAAAGCCUGGAGCUCAACUCCAGAACUGCCUUUGAGACUGCAUCGCUUGAAUCCAGGAGAGGUCAGUGGAAUUCCGUGUGUAGAGGUGAAAUUCGUAGAUAUUCGGAAGAACACCAGUGGCGAAGACGGCUGACUGGACUGGUAUUGACGCUGAGGUGCGAAAGCGUGGGGAGCAAACAGGAUUAGAUACCCCCGUAGUCCCUGUCUCUUAACC
rnacentral:rRNA from 1 species